rnacentral:piRNA from 1 species
UGCCAUGCCACUUGUUGCAGUCGCCCACAAGU